rnacentral:rRNA from 1 species
GAUGAACGCUGGCGGCGUGCCUAAUACAUGCAAGUCGAGCGAACGGACGAGAAGCUUGCUUCUCUGAUGUUAGCGGCGGACGGGUGAGUAACACGUGGAUAAACUACCUAUAAGACUGGGAUAACUUCGGGAAACCGGAGCUAAUACCGGAUAAUAUUUUGAACCGCAUGGUUCAAAAGUGAAAGACGGUCUUGCUGUCACUUAUAGAUGGAUCCGCGCUGCAUUAGCUAGUUGGUAAGGUAACGGCUUACCGAGGCAACGAUGCAUAGCCGACCUGAGAGGGUGAUCGGCCACACUGGAACUGAGACACGGUCCAGACUCCUACGGGAGGCAGCAGUAGGGAAUCUUCCGCAAUGGGCGAAAGCCUGACGGAGCAACGCCGCGUGAGUGAUGAAGGUCUUCGGAUCGUAAAACUCUGUUAUUAGGGAAGAACAUAUGUGUAAGUAACUGUGCACAUCUUGACGGUACCUAAUCAGAAAGCCACGGCUAACUACGUG